CUACCAAGACAGUGACGGUUGACGGGAAAUAAGAGGUUUUAUUCCGGAGAGGGAGCCUGAGAGAUGGCUCCCACGUCCAAGGACGGCAGCAGGCGCGAAAAUUGCCCACUUCAAGAUUGAGAGGCAGUUAUGAAACGUAUUUGAUGAAGACUAGACAAAAGAAAGACUUAAAGCAAUUGGAGGGCAGGUUUGGUGCCAGCAGCCGCGGUAAUACCGACUCCAAGAGUUUCUAUGAUGGAUGCUGCAGUUAAAAAGUCCGUAGUUGUUGGGACAAUUAAAAGACAUGGAUCAAAGAUGUUAAGUUUGUCAAAGGUAGUGGAACGGACAGGGAGGAUUGUAUACACUGGCGAGAGAUGAAAUGACCAAGACCCAGUGUGGACAAACAGAGGCGGAAGCGAUUCUCUUGUACGAAUCCGUAGAUCAAGGACGAAGGCUGGAGUAUCGAAAGUGAUUAGAUACCGCUGUAGUUCCAGCAGUAAAAGAUGCC
rnacentral:rRNA from 1 species